rnacentral:lncRNA from 1 species
CUUCAAGAACAUAAUUCUGAACCAAUCAGAAAGGCAGCAUGGCCCAGUACAGCCAUUUCAGCACCGGACUUUCCAGACUGUGGAGGUCACUAUGACGAGCUUAAAAAAGAAUUCAACAGACUUUAUCAGAAGUAUUGUCUGGUGUCACCUCGGCAUGCGAAGGUGACUUUGUGUGGCAGACUAUCUCCAGUGAAAGCUGCUGCAGCUGUUCCCGGUCAAACAGAGCACUUGAAAAGAUUAAAUCCAGACUCUCCACUCCAGAGUUCCCAGAAAUGGUCGCCAUCUCCUGACUGGCGCAUAAGAAUUCCACAGGAUUCAACUGCAGUUGAGGGUCACAGGUCUGCACAGACUGCUAGUGCUGUUGUGAGAGGCCCUUGGUUGUCAACAAAGAGGCGCAAGUUGUCAUACCCGGCCAAGUCUCCAGAUUCCUCGGGAGCAGCAGGCCGGCUCUGAGUGUCCUGACUGCUGGCUGCGUGUUUGUCCGUUGGACAUGAUGUGUAGUCAGUAGCUGCUUUGAGGGAGAAGACUUGGCAGACGCUUUUCUCUUUGGAGGUGGGCCCAGAGCAUCAAGUGUGCUGAACAAUCUUUCACUGCAGCUCCCAGUAGCCACUUGGCCUCUGCCCAGCCACCUCCCCCGCACCAUAUCACAGCGCCACCUCUGUUCUGCCUUGGGCUUCUCCAGCCAGCCUCGAAUAUGUCUCUAAAUCAUAUUCAGGGGAUUCUCGAUGGCAGUUUUCCUUUUGACUUUAACUGCUUACAUUGUCUUUGCUCCCCGCUCCCCACACCCAUCUUCACCUUCCUCUCUUCUGCUUUUGUGUAGGUAAGUGCCCUUCUGGAGGACAUGGUGUAAGUCCAUGGGUUGGGUAAUAGCCCGGACCCUGCUCCCACCCGUUGGCUUAGUCUCAGGAGCUCUGGUUUGGGGGUGGGGUGGGGGAGAUGUUUUGUUUUUGAGGCAGUCUUACAUAGCUUGGUCUGACCUUGAACUCGUUGGAUGGUUGAGGUGACUUCAAGUUCCUGAUCCUCCUGCCUCUGCCUCCGUUUCCCAAAUUCUGAGGCUAAUCUUUGUUUUCGGAUUUAUUUCCAUGGGUACAACACUUUAUGAGCUGAUUGAACUGCCAAGAAGGGAAGGGACCCACCUGGGGUAGAGCCAUCGAUACAAGGAGCAGGGCCAGACCUCAGACUUCAACAAUACUAGCUGGGUCUCUGGUCACCUGGUGUGGCAGGUAUCCCUGGCAGGGUAUGCCCGCCAGCAGGCUCCCUUCGCUCUUGGCCUGAGCUGCUUGUCUAGCUGUCUCAGCCUCCUAGACCAAACUCCCACCACGGUG